rnacentral:rRNA from 1 species
GACGGGGGGGGCUAGUGUUAUUCGGAAUGACUGGGCGUAAAGGGCAUGUAGGCGGAUUAUUAAAUUGUUUGUAAAAUUUCAUGGCCUAACUAUGAAAAUACUUUCAAAACUACUAAUCUAGAGUAUACAAAAGGAUAGUGGAAUUUCUAGUGUAGAGCUGAAAUUCAUAAAUAUUAGAAGGACCUCCAGAAGCGAAGGCGACUAUCUAUAUUAUUACUGACGCUGAGGUGCGAAAGCUUGGGUAGCAAACAGG